UCGAUGGAGAGUUUGAUCCUGGCUCAGGACGAACGCUGGCGGCGUGCCGAACACAUGCAAGUCGAACGAGGUCCAUGGGAGCUUGCUCCCGG
rnacentral:rRNA from 1 species